AUCUAUUUCUAUUUAUAAUGCAUGAUCGCCGAUGAUUAUACAGAAUCAACAUUGAAGCAAAGCCCCUGAGUUCGAGUUCAUCAUCGUGGUUGAAUGAAUGACGUCUCCUUCAUCAUCGUUUCCAAUCGAGAAGGGGUCUCACACUAAAUUGAUUUUAGAAUCUCUUAAGAUGAAAAUCAAUCUAUCGAUCCCUGACGAAACAAAACGCCAAUACUCCUAUGAAACCCUAAGUAACAGAGGAAGCCCAUGUUUGCUUCUUCGCAUUGCAAUCAAAAAUCUGUCCGAUCAGAUCGAGGGAGAGAGGAUGAACAAGAUCACACAAACAAAAAAAUCAGAGUCAUGUUUCGUCGAUGUCACAAAGAAUGAAUCUUCUUCGUCAAAUUGGAUCUCGUGCAAGUGGUGGAGGUACAGAAGAACGGUGGGCUCACGUUUGACUUUGGAAUGGGGUUGGCUGUAUGGGCCUUCUUUGCUACCAACAAGGAUGACCUUGAGGACUCG
rnacentral:misc_RNA from 1 species